ensembl:lncRNA
UUUUAACUUCUAAAUAAUCAGAGACCCUUUCUCCAGGCCUCACAAAUAUUAGGGGUGGGUCGGCCCGACCCCCCAGUCAGCUGUUCCGUGGCCGGCUUGGAUCCAGAGUUUCUCGGGCAUGUUGAUUGGUUCUACAAGCUUUACCAGACCAGAAGAGGCUUGGGAUUGCAGCCUAUGAGAACUCAGCACAUGAAGAAGAAAUCCUCAGAGAUGAAGGCUGUUUUCCUGCCAGGAGCCAAAGAAAGGAUUAAAAAACUCUGGUGGAAUGUUGCAGCAAGAUAAACAGCGGUCAAGUCAUAGAUAACUGUUCGCCUCAGGGACUGAGAUUAUCAUCUGUCAACCUCUGGCAGGUCCCCUGUACCUUGUACCUCCCCCAGCAUUUUUUCCCCUUCUGCAUUCUUUCUUCCCCCUGCACAUGUAUAUAAUCAGCCGCCAUGAUUAAACGUUAGAGCU